UUAACAGCUGACUCCGCCUUUUGGGCGGUG
rnacentral:sRNA from 1 species